CAAGACGACUUGGAACACCUGACUCUCCCAGUGCAAACACCAGGACAGAGUACCACUGUGUACAAGAGCCACUGUGUGCAGAACAAUAAGCCAACAGGACAAGUGGAAAAAAGUGACCCAAAGGGAGAACCAAAUGAAUAUGAACGUAUACGACAACACACUGUACUAAAGAAUGCCCGGAAAGCUCGAUGCCACAUGGAGACAGACUGUUUCCAUAUCUGUUGACAUGCCAACACAAGCAACAGAAAAAAUAGAGAAAACCAAAUCUAUAAAUUGAAGUGUUUCUGCAAAUUCUAAGAGGUUCUUAACAUUAUCCAGAAUGGCUCCUUGGUGGACGAUCAUGCACCUCGCAGGAGAGGCGCUUUCUUCAGGGUCUUCAUCAUUAUAGUGUCUCUGAAAUUAAAAGUUAAGAGAGAAAAAAAAGAAAAGGGCCUGAAUGGAAGCUGUAAACACAAUGGUUGUGGCCUUUAGUCAAGAGGGAACACACAGCCCAAAGAGCCUGGGCAUGAAACCAAUACCAACUGAAUUGGGCCACGGUUGAAAUCUUUGUGAAUGUCAUUCUGGAUGUAAGAGAGUGAUGGGACAUCGGAGGCUAAAGUGGACGCUGACUGAUGAGUUGUUUAUAAUAUGAGAGAAUCUGAGAAUCCCCGAGCAAACUCACUCUCGAAGUGAAGACUGGCAGAUGGCUGGCUGGAGCUCCCCCACCCACCUCUCCACUUGUCCCUGCUUUUUUUAUUUCAGUUGGUCAGGUGACAAUAUGUGUUUAGAAGAAAUAAAUAAAGCAUGUCUCAAAAAUGGUGC